rnacentral:tRNA from 2 species
GUGGAUGUAGCUCAGUGGUAGAGUUCAAGAUUGUGGAUCUUGCCGUCGCGGGUUCAAACCCCGUCAUCCACCC